rnacentral:rRNA from 1 species
CCUACGGGAGGCAGCAGUAGGGAAUCUUUCACAAUGGGCGAAAGCCUGAUGGAGCAACGCCGCGUGCAGGAUGAAGGCCUUCGGGUUGUAAACUGCUUUUAUAAGCGAGAAAUAUGAUGGUAACUUAUGAAUAAGGAUCGACUAACUACGUGCCAGCAGCCGCGGUCAUACGUAGGAUCCGAGCAUUAUCCGGAGUGACUGGGUGUAAAGAGUUGCGUAGGUGGCAUAAUAAGUAGCUAGUGAAAUCUGGUGGCUCAACCAUUCAGACUAUUAGCUAAACUGUUAAGCUCGAGACCGUUAGGGGUAACUGGAAUGUCUGGUGUAGGAGUGAAAUCCGUAGAUAUUAGAAGGAACACCAAUAGCGUAGGCAGGUUGCUGGGACGGUUCUGACACUAAGGCACGAAAGCGUAGGGAGCAAACGGGAUUAGAUACCCGAGUAGUC